rnacentral:rRNA from 1 species
CCUACGGGUGGCAGCAGUCGGGAAUAUUGCGCAAUGGGGGCAACUCUGACGCAGCAACGCCGCGUGUUUGAAGAAGGCCUUCGGGUUGUAAAGAUCUUUAAUCGGGGACGAAUUUUGACGGUACCCGAAGAAUAAGCUCCGGCUAACUACGUGCCAGCAGCCGCGGUAAUACGUAGGGAGCAAGCGUUAUCCGGAUUUACUGGGUGUAAAGGGCGUGUAGGCGGGCAUGCAAGCCAGUAGUGAAAUCUGGGGGCUUAACCCCGGAACUGCUUUUGGAACUACGUGUCUUGAGUGCUGGAGAGGCAGGCGGAAUUCCCAGUGUAGCGGUGAAAUGCGUAGAUAGUGGGAGGAACACCAGUGGCGAAGGCGACCUGCUGGACAGUAACUGACGCUGAGGCGCGAAAGCGUGGGGAGCAAACAGGAUUAGAUACCCGGGUAGUC